rnacentral:lncRNA from 1 species
AGACGAGCCAGCAACAUAGGUAGUGAUAUCAAUCACCCAAAAGAUUGCGCCCUAACUCACUCUCGUUCCAUUAGAACUCCCGUUUUCCUUCAUCGUAGUAGCAGGAUCUCUGUUAGGUAAUAUUUUAUUUUAUUUUAUUAUUAUUAUUUUUUUUUGGUGCUGGGAUCUCAUUUGUUUCUUAUUUUUGGAAGAACAAUGAAGAUCUUGAGUUAGCUCUGGAUAGAAUUUUUCUCUGUCGACGAAUCUGUGUUUCUGCCGGUUAUUUUAAAUCCUUAUAUAGAUAACUGAUUUGCCAUUUUCCUUUUACUCUACUUUUGUAAUUGAGGCUCGCCAUGGUUUCAACAAUGUAUUCACUUUGAAGUUUUGGUCAUUUUUUCUUCAUUGUUUCUCUCUAACUUUGCGGGCAUGUUGUUCCUUUUUUAUUCUAUCUCCCUAAUUAUCAACUUAUUUCUUUGAAACUUGAUUUCUCCUUCUACAGCAAAUAGAAUGGUUAGUCUUUAGGGACAUGAUAAAAGGGAUUAUCUUAACUAUAGUGAUUGGCCUAUUGUAGCUGCCAUAAUUGUAAUAUUACAUGUAUGUUUUCUUUGUAUCCAGUUUGGUAAUGAUAAUAGUUACUUAUGGAUCAAUAUGAUUUUUUUGCUAAGUUUUUAUUUAAGAUUUAUAUUUUGUUUUCUUUCCCUUUAAUGUUCUCAACAUUUAUAUAUGGAAAUAAUCACUUCAGCAAGUAUUGAUAGAAAGAAAGAGAUUAAUCGUUUAAGUGAAUGGCUGGUCGUAGAAAGUAGGUUCCUACUUGGCCAUAUAUAUGUGGGCUUUUAUGCUUGUUCUGUCUCUUGUCACGAUGACAUUGUUAUUGAAGGUAUCAUUGGUUGAUUUCAUCAUAUUGUCUAUAAAUUGAAUUCGAAUAUUAUGCUUUCGCUCAUUUAGGAUUGGCUUAAGAGCUCUUCUCUGUGGUGCUCAUAUUAUAACUGAUGGAAUGUUUGAAAGCAGCUGCUAAGUGGUAUGCCGUAACUAUAUUAUGCCUUCAAUCUAUGUUAUGAUGUUCCAUGUUACUUAUUAUCAAAGGUUCUAGAGGACUUCUUAUUCCUUUCCCUUAUACUUAAUGAACAUGAUAUCUUCAUGCAACUGCAAUAUUUGUUCAGUCAUUAAAUGUUAGCUUCAAACACGGCCAACUAUAUGGAUGUGAUUUCUCCUUUCUAAAAAAAUGGAACAGCGUAGUUGAGAUUUUAGUUCUUUAAGCAGGCAACUUACCAAAAUCUGGUUAUACCACCUCUGGCAAGUUGCUUUAUGAUGCCUAAUUAUAUGGAUUUUCAGCCAGUUUGGUACAAUUUCGUUUGCAUUAUAAAAAUUCGACCAAAUAUUCUCUAUGACCUCUAAAAAUGGAUGAAUAUAAUGAGGAAAAUAAAACAUUCAAAGAUUAGGAGAAUGUGAGUUAUAUGAAAACUGUAAAUCUUUGAAAUUUAUAGUUGACAUGACCCAUGUGUAAUGGAAUUUAGAAUUUAAGGGAAUAAGAGGAACUUUAGCUUUAUUAUUGAAUAUGUGAUGUGAGUAUAUAAUAUUCAAAUUACGAGAUCAAAGAAAUACACAUUUUUUCCUCGUCUUCCAGUUCCAUGUUCAACAGUUUUUGGGUAAAUUUGAGUCGAAGUCCUCAACCAUUGUUAAGCGUAACCUUUGGGUUCCCAACCUAUCUUUUAUAUCAUCAAACAGACUAUCAUAUCAUUGGUUGAUUCAAAGAAGAGACCACGUGAGAAGGGGAGGGGAUUCAUUAGAACUCUACAAAUAUAAAUCUCUUGAAAAUUGCUCUCUUCAACUUUUUUUAACACUAUCAUUUUAUCAAAUCCCACUAGGGCAAUGAGUGGCUCUACUUCUUUUAAGAAAGCUUUGGCUGCCAGAUUAUCUCUUUUCAACCAUUCCCUCUCCUAGCUGCAAGAUUUUCUUGAGAAGAGUUCUUCAAAGUACAAAACUUUGUUGGUAACAAAUAUAAUUUUGGCUAUUUUUUUAGCAAGAUCUUAAAGGUACUUUGGACAAAAAAUAUUAGCAUAUAAUCAAGUAUCACUUAUUAGUCAAGAUUUUGAAGGAUGCUAUCAAUAAAAUUCCUGACGAAUGAGAUAUUAUGUAUUUCUUUAUUACAAGUUUGAAUGCAAAGAAGACAAACAUGAUAGGCCUCCGAUCUAGUUCACCUAUGCCAGAAGAAAGAAGAACAAUGAUCCUAAUUGUUUUGCCAAGUCAGUUGAGUUAAUUAGAGAGGGGUAGAAAUGUAAUAGUCUAUGUUAGGAAAUGCAAAUAAAUGUGGAAGGUAAAGGGGUGGGGAAGGCAUUGAUGUACUGGUUUUUAGUUGGGAGUAGGGGGAGGGACGGGGCCUCUCUAAUAGCCCCGAGCUUGUAUCUAUUUUGUUUCUUCACUUGAUUCUAUUAAUAAACUACUAAUUAUUCUGUAACCUUGAGUGUUAGCUAUAGUUCAAUCAUUUGUUCCUAACAAAGCCAAGUUAUAUUAUUGUUUUUCUCUCCAGCAGGAGCUCUUCCUUCCAUCACAGUUGGCCUGCAGUAGCUGGGAUUGUAUCAAUUAGGGUAGAAGUGAGAAUGUUGAGGCCACAACGAUUGGGCCAGAUCGUGGAACUAGCCCAAUGGGUAGAGGAUCGCAACGAGUCCCUUAAGCGAGCUGAAGCUUCAGUCGGCCGAAUUAGAUCAAGAUCCUCUAAUUUGGCUCCAUCCUAUUCCAGCUCAUUUGGGGACAACCCAAACUAUACGAGUAUUUAUCCAAGAGGGGUGACUCGAGCUUCCCAAAUCAGCUAGCAAACUCUAAUUACAGCCCCCUGAUAAGUGCGCUUUUAAACACUUAUUCGGUCCACAAAGCAUGACUAAUUAUUGAUGAAAUUGAUUGGAUAUGGCUUAAUUCUAUGCAAUUUCUUUUGUAGGACCAUAUUGAUGGAUAAUGAAACUCAAGAGAAAAGAUACGAAAAAGGGGCCAAAACGAAAGAAAUCGAAAGUUCAGGGACCAAAGUGUAAAUAUCCAAAAG